GACUUUGCUUUGGGAAUUAAUUGGCUUGCCUCCUUCAAAUGGAGUUCUGCCUCAAUCCCCUAUGCACACCAAGAGCCUGGUUGUUCUCAAGAAACAGUUGAUAAGAAGAAAGAUGGUUAAAAGUGCCAAAGAAAGCAUAAAGCAGAAAGCAAGCAAAUCAGAAAUCUAUGGGAAUCUGCAGGCUGUGUUUAUAGAAAUCGAUAGCACUCAAGAUAAUUUCAUGAAACAUGGGAGCAGGACAAACACAGAGUUUUGUAUCCCUAUUGGGAUGUGCAUAUUGUAGAUAUAUAAAGAUGCAGAUUUUACAGUCUUAUUGUUUUUAGUAUCUCUGCUUAAGUGGGAAUUCUAUUCAAGCAGUGGAGUUUGGAUUACUUUGUUUAGGAGAAAGUAAAGCAGUUUUGAUUUUUCUUUCUUCUAGAGAGAUCAUUUUUGGUGGGUUUGAGAGAUUUUGAUGACUAAGUUUCAGGGUUUAUUGAGAUGAAGGGUGUAAUAGGGAGAGAAUUCCAAAUUUUUGGAACAGAAAGUUGAGUUUUUUUUUUCCUUGGGAGAAAAAGGCCUUUUAAGAGAGUCUACAAGCAUGGCUGUGGUGAGUCCUAUGAGUCCUGCUACGGCUACAACUCCACACCAGGUCUAUCCCACGACUCUUCAUGGAAGUGAGGUUCCAUGGAUCAUGAGUGGCAUGAGAGAAGCUGCAGAGGCAUCUAGUCCAAAUGUGGUUGAUGACAUUAUCCAUGUUGUUGUGGCAAAAGAUGUGAAAGAUAGCAGGUUGAAUCUGAUUUGGGCAAUACAGAAUUCUGGAGGAAAGAGGAUUUUCAUCCUUUAUGUUCAUGUGCCAGCAGCUACAAUCCCCAUAAUGGGUGCUAAUUUUCCAGAAAGUGCAGACGGAGAGCAUCGAGUUCAAGAACAUCGAUAAAAUGAAGAGCAAGGCAUGCGUAUUAUUCUGAAUGACUAUCUUAUUAUCUGCAGAAGAAUGGGGGUAGAGGCAGAGAAACUGCAUAUUAUUGAUAAGGAUUGCAUUGAAAAAGGGAUUGUAGAACUUAUCUGCAAGCAUAAGAAGCUUGUGAUGGGAGAAGCUUCUGAUAAGUACCAUUCUAGGAGAAUGACAGAUCUCAGGUCUAGGAAAGCCAUUUAUGUGAGAGAAAAUGCUCCUGCUUAUUGUCAUAUACAGUUCAUCUGCAAAGGGUACCUCAUACACACAAGGUACAAGGGAUGCAGUUUUGAUUUGAACACUAUGCUUAAUAUUUACUAGUCUCAAAAAGCUUGUUUUUGGAUUUGAUUUCUUUUGUGAUUAGUAAUUAGUAUGAUUUGAUUAUCUUGGUACUGAUGUAUAUGUAAUUAAUUCUUUUCUGAUUAAUUAAUUAGUUAAUGUAUAUGUAAGUUACUAGUGAUAUAUCAAAUAGUA